rnacentral:rRNA from 1 species
AUUGAACGCUGGCGGCAUGCCUUACACAUGCAAGUCGAACGGCAGCACGGGAGCAAUCCUGGUGGCGAGUGGCGAACGGGUGAGUAAUAUAUCGGAACGUGCCCGGUCGUGGGGGAUAACGUAGCGAAAGCUACGCUAAUACCGCAUACGAUCUACGGAUGAAAGCGGGGAUCGCGAGACCUCGCGCGAUUGGAGCGGCCGAUAUCAGAUUAGGUAGUUGGUGAGGUAAAGGCUCACCAAGCCGACGAUCUGUAGCUGGUCUGAGAGGACGACCAGCCACACUGGGACUGAGACACGGCCCAGACUCCUACGGGAGGCAGCAGUGGGGAAUUUUGGACAAUGGGCGCAAGCCUGAUCCAGCAAUGCCGCGUGCAGGAUGAAGGCCUUCGGGUUGUAAACUGCUUUUGUACGGAACGAAACGGUGAGCUCUAAUACAGUUUGCUAAUGACGGUACCGUAAGAAUAAGCACCGGCUAACUACGUG